UUGCUCUGGCAGCAGAUGUAUUAAAAUCGGAAAGAUACAGAGAAGAGUAGCAUGGCUGAUGUGUGAGAAUAACAUGAAAAUUCACAAAAUAGUCCAUAUUUUU